UCGGGAGAACGCUCACCACUUUGUGGUUCAUGACUGGGGUGAAGUCGUAACAAGGUAGCCCUAGGGGAACCUGGGGCUGGAUCACCUCCUUACCU
rnacentral:rRNA from 1 species